rnacentral:rRNA from 1 species
CAGUCGCCGCGGGAAUACGUAGGGUGCAAGCGUUAAUCGGAAUUACUGGGCGUAAAGCGUGCGCAGGCGGUUAUAUAAGUCAGAUGUGAAAUCCCCGGGCUCAACCUGGGAACUGCAUUUGAGACUGUAUGGCUAGAGUGUGUCAGAGGAGGGUAGAAUUCCACGUGUAGCAGUGAAAUGCGUAGAUAUGUGGAGGAAUACCGAUGGCGAAGGCAGCCCCCUGGGAUAACACUGACGCUCAUGCGCGAAAGCGUGGGGAGCAAACAGGAUUAGAUACCCCUGUAGUCCCUGUCUCUUAUAC